UAUAAAACAACUGUCAAGGUUAAAGGAUCCACAAUGUCUGGGCUGCAGGACAGAUUCCGACUUCUCCGUUAUUGCUACCAUUUGAACUCGACAAUGACACUUUUAAAUCUUGGACUCCGAAUAAAAUUCUUAGGCCUAUGUCUUAGCUUUCCAUA
rnacentral:pre_miRNA from 1 species